AGAAGGCAAUUGUAAGAGGCUAGCUGAAUCCAGAUUUCAAACCUAUCUGUACUCUGCAUUUUUGUGGCUGAAAAAGAAGUUUAACUACCUAGAUGAAGAUGAUGUAUUCCACUAAGUAUUUGAAGACUAUUCUCUUCAUGCUAAGAAACCAUAAUAUUUUUUCCUGUGGGCGAUGUCAUCAAGGGAAAGCAUCAAUCUCACUAGCAGAAGAGCUAGAAUGUCAACAUUUGGAGUCCACAGCCACAUAUUUUUGCUGCUAUGACACAACCCAUCUGGAAAUCGGGUUGCACAGCAACAUAACAAGGGAAGUAUUUGUAAGAAGCAUUCAUCCAGAAGAUAGCUCCUUUCAGAACUUUGAUCAUCCUUCAGGCCAUAGGGCAGCUCUGCUUUCUUUGCUACCAUCCGAAGUGUAAGGGAACAUUCUGUGCCAUCACUACAUAAGGAGUCUCAUUUUUAAAGUAUUAAAAAAAUCCACCUACAAAUCCUCAUUUUAUAUGUUAGGAAUAACUUGAGAAGCUAGAGAGUAUUGGUCGAUUCUAACAAGCAGUUAAAUUAAUGUUAAGAAAGGCUUAUGUCCCUCAAGUGUCCCAAGAAAGGAGCACUUCUCUGACCAGAGAGAAGCAGUGGAUCAUCUGCUCUCCACCACUGUAGUGCAUGCUGUUUUCUUCAAGAACUUGACAGAAUGGUAAUCAUUCUAUUUUUUUUUCUCUAACAAUCAUAUAAGUCUUACAAGAGUGACUUAUUUUUUAUUAACACAACAUAUUUAGAAUUGUGUUUGCUUUCAGAACUGUUUUCUGUGAUUAUUAUAUAGUAUAUUGUAAAGGAGUUCAAGUCUUUAUCAACUGAAACUCAAGCAAUUUCUAUCGUUAGAGAUAGCAAUCCAACAUCACUACUCACCAUGAGUUACACCAGGUGCCACUCUUUUCAGUUUCUAUCAGAGACUUGAUAUUACAUCCAGUGAUAGUACAAAAAAACAGUAUUUACUCCUUUAAAAUAACGAAGGAGUGUGUGCAUAUAGAUAUACUGUGUGUGUAUAUAUAUAUAUACGCAUAUAUAUAUAUAUACUGUAAAUCAUAUAAACACAAGUCUUUGACAUGUGUUUAUAUGUAUUUACAGUACCAGCUUUACUGCAACAGAGAUGCAGACAGACAUCGACAGGAGGAAAUUGUCUACUCAGGUGCAAUACAGAUUUGUUUGCCAGACAGUUUGGCCCAAAAAUAGAGUUUCCAUUUUGAAAUGUGUUGAGGACUAUACAUGGUAAGUUGUCCAUACUAUGGAGAUUUGAGUUUAAAGGACAAAUUUUCAAUUUAAACUGAAAUAUACAAGAGAAGUGUUGAAUUAGGAAAUGUUUGAAAUGCAACGAAAUGCACUCUGAUUAUUAAAAGAAGAAAAGUCCAAUAUAUUUUUUUCUCUGUUCUGCUUUGAGUUCAUCCUAGGCUGUGGUGGAGAACCAAAGAGCACUGUUCUUUUUGUGUUGCAUGAGUCUUUUUGGGGUGACACAAAAAAUCCUGAACACAGGCAGCACUUAUCAACACCCUGACCUUGGUUCAGAGUUAGAAAUGUCUGGAACUCAAAUAAAAUUGAGCACAAUAAAAAAGAACUUAGUAAUUGCUUAUCAUAGUCUCUGUACUGAACAUGACAUGUCAUGAAAUUGAUAUUUUCCCAGGUACCUUAAACUCUAUUGUCACUGUUCACUGCAGGAGAGUAGGACUGGAUAACCUUUAAAGGUCCCUUCCAACUCAAAUGGUUCUAAUUCUGUGAUUCUAUUGCCUUGGGUGAUACACAGCUGAAUUCAUACCGAUACAGUCAAUGGAAGGACAGAAAUUGUAUAUCUAUUGGCACAUCUGCAGAGUCAGAGGUUUCAAAAACUAAAACCCAAAUCUACUAGCAGGACAGUUAGCAUAUAUGUCUUUAGUCUGUAGUUUUGAUAGGGGCAUGGUGCAGUUGCUUGACAGAGAGAAACGUGAAAAUAUGUCCUCGAAACAUCAGCUAAUUUUCACACUGUUGACAUUAGAUUGUCUCGAAGAAGAAAAUAAAUGUUUCUUCAAGACUGUUUAGACCCAUACUUUUUGUCCACAGAGACAAAAGUCUGGCUUCUUGCUUGUGGUUAAAACAUAAAAAUUUUCCCAUUACAUUUUUGAUAACUUAUCAAAAAAACACGUUGCCUUGUUACAAGGAAUUCAGAGUUGUGACUUAAGAAAAAUAAAUCAGAAUUAAAUGAAACCCCCAAAAGUGCAAAGCUGAAAAUUAUAAAACCACAGAGCAGAAAACAAAAGUUCUGAGAAACAUAAAUCUUCCUUAGGGAUAGGCACCAAGGAGGACAAGAGGUAGUGAUAUACUGUAUGCAUAAGUAUAAAGAUGUUUAUCCAUUCACAUGGGGAAUCAAGUUAGAUUUAUAUUUGUUGGUUGUGGAGUGGUUUGGGUUUUUUUGCUUUUUUAAAUUAUUAUUAUUUUCAGCAUUAAUUUGCUUGACUCAUGUUCACCUUAGAUUUAAGACUAAAUCUUUUUUUUUUCUUUUGCUUCGUUGAUCUCAACCUUUUUGAACCUGUCGUCUUUCUUCCUUCUGUGUGGAUUGUUGGGGAAAAACAAAACUGAAAGAUUACAUUCUUUUCUUUAUUUUUAAUAUGGUUUUGUAUCCCUCUAAAGGAAGCCAGUUCAAAUCAAGAGAUGCCUGCAUCUAUUGAAACCACAGAGUGGAUUGAUCUCUAGAAAUUCUGCUCUCUGCUUAUGAAUACUGAAGCAGUGAGAUGAUGGUCAGAUCUCAGGGGCUGCUCUGACAUGUCAGCCCCUACGGGCUUCUGUCCUAUGUUGCCAUUUGAAUGGACCCCCAGGACUUUCCCAGAAGCAAAGUCAGGUGUAAGACGUGUGGGCUGUUGGUGCUUCUCAGCUGAACUGCUGUGAGCUGCAUGUAUGAACUUCAGGGCAAGGUGCACAAAUGCAUUUGCCCAGGUAGGAACGCACACCAAGGAAUCUGCUUUAGAGGUCACAGCUGUAAGAAAGGCUGCAGGGAACCUGUGUCUGUCUGUAUCCAUCUAAAGAUGAGUAUUAACUUUGGACUCAGUUAUGUUUCUGUUGACUGUUUUUGACUGUUUCUCUACUCAUCAUUUUCCUGAUGGAUGUACUAUUUUGUUUUUAAUCUCACCACAGUGACAUAGAGAAAUAUUUAUACUAUUUUCAAAUAAUGGUUAGAAAAUAUGGAGUAUAUCGGCUCUGUGUAACACAUUACACUGGUGACAGAACCAAGCACUGAAUGCAGAAAUCUGGAAUCCCAGGGUAGUUUUUAACCCGCAAGGUCUUUGUUGCACUUAAAUGGAGACCACAGAGCCAAUACUGCCACUGCUGCAGUUCUACUGGGAAAUAUAGACAGCUAUAACCUUUAUCAUUCACUAGCAUAGCUCAGUUCACUUAGCCUUUCUUCACAGGGGAGAUGCUCCAGGCCCUUCACCAUCUUUGUGGCCCUCC